GUGAAUCAUCAAAUCUUUGAACGCAAAUUGCACUCUCCUCGGAGAGUAUGACUGUUUGAGGGUGAGACUAUAAAAAUCGACAUCGUUGCUGUUUCGCGGUGGCGUUCGUCGGAAAUUGGGUCAUCUUAAAUAAUUUUGAUUUAAGCGACUUAAAAUUUUAUUUUGGUUACGUGAAAGUUUCUAAGAACUAUUUCUUUACAAGUUUAAGGUAUCGAUUUUUACUAGACGUGACCAUCAUUUCGGAUUGAGUAUAUAAUCUAUCA
rnacentral:misc_RNA from 1 species